CCUAGGCUAAAAAGGAGAUUAGCCUGUAAAAGGGAGCAUUCUGGAACUGACUUACACCAGCCGAGGAUUUGGUCCAUAAUUCUUCAAACAAGUGUUCACAAAAUUCCAAAUUUGGGUGCCUAAAAUUAAGCAUUUAAACCCAUAUGUAAGGCCCAACAUAAAUGUCUUGACUUCCAGAGGUUCUGAGGACACAUGGCUCCAGUUGAAGACAAGAGCAGCUGUGUGAAAAUCCGUCUCUUUGAGGCCUUACAUAUAAAUGACUUUUCCAGAAGAAUCAACUCCAACACAGAUUUCCUGUUCAAAAUCCACCAAAUUAGGAGGCAAGCACUGCACUCAGACUAGCUCCUCACUGAUUCUGCCCUUACUAUACUCUGUC